AAGGACCCCAAAACCACCCCAAAGGACCCCAAAGGAUCCCCAAAACCACCCAAAAUAACCCCAAAAUGACCCCAAAGGACCCCCAAAACCACUCAAAAUCCCCCCCAAAAUGACCCCAAAGGACCCCCAAAACCCCCCAAAGUGACCCCAAAACGCCCCAAAACGCCCCCAAACCCCCCCAAAUAACGCAAAACCACCCCAAAAUCCCACAGUGACCCCAAAACCACCCCCAAAUCCCCCCAAAAUGACCCCAAAGGAUCCCCAAAACCACCCCAAAAUGAUCCCAAAACCACCCCAAAGGACCCCGAAGGAUCCCCAAAACCACCCCAAAUCCCCCCAAAAUGACCCCAAAACCACCUCAAAGGACCCCAAAACCACCCCAAAGGACCCCAAAGGAUCCCCAAAACCACCCAAAAUAACCCCAAAAUGACCCCAAAGGAUCCCCAAAACCACCCCAAAUCCCCCCAAAAUGACCCCAAAGGACCCCCAAAACCACCCAAAAUGACGCAAAACCACCCCAAAACGCCCCAACCCCCCCCCAAAUAACGCAAAACCACCCCAAAAUCCCACAGUGACCCCAAAACCACCCCCAAAUACCCCCAAAAUGACCCCAAAGGAUCCCCAAAACCACCCCAAAGGACCCCAAAACCACCCCAAAGGACCCCAAAGUGACCCCAAAACCACCACAAAGGACCCCAAAGUGACCCCAAAGGAUCCCCAAAACCUCCCAAAAUCACCCAAAAUGACCCCAAAGCGACCCCAAAACCACCCCAAAGGACCCCAAAGUGACCCCAAAACCACCCCAAAGGACCCCAAAGGACUCCAAAACCACCCAAAACCACCCCAAAGCACCCCAAAACGACCCCAAAAUUGCCCCAAAUUACUCCAAAACCACUCCAAAGGACCCCUAAGUGACCCCAAAACCACCCCAAAGGACCCCAAAGUGACCCCAAAACCACCCAAAAUAACCCCAAAAUGACCCCGAAGGAUCCCCAAAACCACUCAAAAUCCCCCCAAAAUGACCCCAAAGGACCCCCAAAACCACCCAAAAUGACUCAAACCACCCCAAAACGCCCCCAAACCCCCCCAAAUGACGCAAAACCACCCCAAAAUCCCACAGUGACCCCAAAACGACCCCAAAACCACUCCAAAGGACCCCAAAAUCACCCCAAAGCACCCCAAAGAACCCCAAAGUGACCCCAAAUUACUCCAGAAGGAUCCCAAAGGACCCCAAAGUGACCCCAAAACCACCCCAAAUCCCCCCAAAAUGACCCCAAAGGACCCCCAAAACUACCCCAAAUCCCCCCAAAAUGACGCAAAACCACCCCAAAACCACCCCAACGGACCCCAAAGUGACCCCAAAACCACCCCAAAUGACGCCAAAAUGACCCCAAAGUGACCCCAAAACCACCUCAAAGGACCCCAAAACCACCCCAAAGUACCCCAAAGUGACCCCAAAACCACCCAAAAUAACCCCAAAAUGACCCCAAAGGACCCCCAAAACCACCCCAAAUCCCCCCAAAAUGACCCCAAAGGACCCCCCAAAACCACCCAAAAUGACUCAAAACCACCCCAAAACGCCCCCAAACCCCCCCAAAUGACGCAAAACCACCCCAAAAUCCCACAGUGACCCCAAAACGACCCCAAAAAGCCCCCCCAAAUAGCGCAUCUCCCACCGCAUUUCUCUCCAUCCUCAGUUUCUUUAUUCCCCUCUCGGCUCUUUUUUUCAUUCCACGGACCCAAAACGGCACGAAUUGACCCCAAAAUCCCCCCACCCCCCCCGACCCCAUAAACCCCCCACCCCAAACCCCAUAAACCCCCCCAUAAAUCCCCCCAUCAGCGGAUGGUCUUCACGGGGCUCUUGAAGUUGCUGGCGGCCUGCAGCUGCAGCUGGUACGCCAUGGGGUGGAUCUUGAACCCAUACAGCCUGUGGGGGAAAAGAGGCGUCAGAAACCCCAAAACGACCCCAAAUCACCCCAAAAUGGGACCCCAAGUGAGGAUGGAACCUGCAAUAGGAUCAAGAGGGAAUAUGACCCCAAAAUUGCCCCAAAUGACCCCAAAAUGGGACCCCAAUUGAGGAUGGAACCUGCAAUAGGAUCAAGAGGGAACACGACCCCAAAAUGGCCCCAAAACGGCCCCAAAUGACCCCAAAAUGGGGUCACAAUUGGACAUGGAGCCAUCAGUGGGGUCUCAAGGAGAUGCGACCCCAAAAUGGCCCCAUAAUGGCCCUAAAUGACCCCAAAAUGGGGCCCCAAUUCAGGAUGGAACCUGCAAUAGGAUCAAGAGGGAACACGACCCCAAAAUGGCCCCAAAACGGCCCCAAAUCACCCCAAAAUGGGACCCCAAAUGGGACACGGAGCCAUCAGUGGGGUCUGGGGGGAUGCGACCCCAAACGGCCCUAAAUGACCCCAAAAUGGGGCCCCAAUUGAGGAUGGAACCUGCAAUAGGAUCAAGAGGGAACAUGUACCCCAAAACGGCCCCAAAAUGGCCCCAAAUGACCCCAUAAUGGGGUCACAAUUGGACACAGAGCCAUCAGUGGGGUCUGGGGGAAAAGAGACCCCAAAAAGGCCCCAAAUCUGCCCCAAAUGACCCCAAAAUGGGGCCCCAAUUGAGGAUGGAACCUGCAAUAGGAUCAAGAGGGAACACGACCCCAAAACGGCCCCAAAUGACCCCAAAAUGGAGCCGCAAUUGGGGUGGAACCCCCAAUGGGAUCCCUCAGUGGGGUCUGGGUGGAUGCGACCCCAAAACGGCCCCAUAAUGGCCCCAAAAUGACCCCGAAAUGGGACCAGCUGCAGCUGGUACGCCAUGGGGUGGAUCUUGAACCCAUACAGCCUGUGGGGGAAAAGAGGCAUCAGAAACCCCAAAACGACCCCAAAUCACCCCAAAAUGGGGUCACAAUGGGGGUGGAGACCUCAAUGGGGUCUGGGGGAAAAGAGACCCCAAAACGACGCAAAAAGACCCCAAAAUGGGGCCCCAAGUGAGGAUGGAACCUGCAAUAGGAUCAAGAGGGAACACGACCCCAAAACGGCCCCAAAACGACCCCAAAUCACCUCAAAAUGGGGUCACAAUGGGGGUGGAGACCUCCAAUAAGACCCAGAGGGAACACGACCCCAAAAUGGCCCCCAAACGGCCCCAAAAUGGGGCCCCAAUUGAGGAUGGAACCUGCAAUAGGAUCAAGAGGGAAUACGACCCCAAAAUGGCCCCAAAACGGCCCCAAAUGACCCCAAAACGGGACCCGAAAUGGGGUGGAACCCCCAAUGGGAUCCCUCAGUGGGGCCUGGGGGGAUGCGACCCCAAAACGGCCCCAUAAUGGCCCCAAAAUGACCCCCAAAUGGGGCCAGCUGCAGCUGGUACGCCAUGGGGUGGAUCUUGAACCCAUACAGCCUGCGGGGGAAAAGAGGCGUCAGAAACCCCAAAACGGCCCCAAAUCACCCCAAAAUGGGGUCACAAUGGGGGUGGAGACCUCAAUGGGGUCUGGGGGAAAAGAGACCCCAAAACGACGCAAAAAGACCCCAAAAAUGGGGCCCAAGUGAGGAUGGAACCUGCAAUAGGAUCA
ensembl:lncRNA